rnacentral:rRNA from 1 species
AGAGUUUGAUCCUGGCUCAGGACGAACGCUGGCGGCGUGCCUAAUACAUGCAAGUCGAGCGGACCUUUCGGGGUCAGCGGCGGACGGGUGAGUAACACGUGGGCAAUCUGCCCGAUACUCUGGGAUAACGCUUGGAAACGAGUGCUAAUACCGGAUGGUCUUCUUGGCCGCAUGGCCGAGAAGGAAAAGACGCGUUCGCGUCGGUGUCGGAUGAGCCCGCGGCGCAUUAGCUAGUUGGUGAGGUAACGGCCCACCAAGGCGACGAUGCGUAGCCGACCUGAGAGGGUGACCGGCCACACUGGGACUGAGACACGGCCCAGACUCCUACGGGAGGCAGCAGUAGGGAAUCUUCCACAAUGGGCGAAAGCCUGAUGGAGCAACGCCGCGUGAGUGAUGAAGGCCUUCGGGUUGUAAAACUCUGUCAUUCGGGACGAACCGGAGUCUGAGGAAAUGCAGACUCUCUGACGGUACCGGAGGAGGAAGCCCCGGCUAACUACGUGCCAGCAGCCGCGGUAAUACGUAGGGGGCAAGCGUUGUCCGGAUUCACUGGGCGUAAAGCGCGCGCAGGCGGUGAUGUAAGUCUGAGGUGAAAACCCGAAGCUCAACUUCGGGACUGCCUUGGAUACUGCGUCACUUGAGGAUAGGAGAGGCAAGGGGAAUUCCACGUGUAGCGGUGAAAUGCGUAGAGAUGUGGAGGAACACCGUGGCGAAGGCGCCUUGCUGGCCUAUUUCUGACGCUGAGGCGCGAAAGCGUGGGGAGCAAACAGGAUUAGAUACCCUGGUAGUCCACGCUGUAAACGAUGAGUGCUAGGUGUAGGUGGGCUCAUACCCAUCUGUGCCGAAGCUAACGCAUUAAGCACUCCGCCUGGGGAGUACGGUCGCAAGACUGAAACUCAAAGGAAUUGACGGGGGCCCGCACAAGCAGUGGAGCAUGUGGUUUAAUUCGAAGCAACGCGAAGAACCUUACCAGGACUUGACAUCCCAUAGACCAGUCUAGAGAUAGACUUUCCCUUCGGGGCUGUGGUGACAGGUGGUGCAUGGUUGUCGUCAGCUCGUGUCGUGAGAUGUUGGGUUAAGUCCCGCAACGAGCGCAACCCUUACUUUGUGUUGCCAGCAUUCAGUUGGGCACUCACAAGGGACUGCCGCCGAUAAGGCGGAGGAAGGUGGGGAUGACGUCAAAUCAUCAUGCCCCUUAUGUCCUGGGCUACACACGUGCUACAAUGGGCGGUACGACGGGAUGCGAAGCCGCGAGGUGGAGCCAAACCCUGAAAACCGUUCGUAGUUCGGAUUGUAGGCUGCAACUCGCCUACAUGAAGCCGGAAUUGCUAGUAAUCGCGGAUCAGCAUGCCGCGGUGAAUCCGUUCCCGGGCCUUGUACACACCGCCCGU